UGUGGGGGACAGGGACAACGUGGGCCACGGGGACACUGCGGGGGACAGGGACAAGGUGGGGCACAACUGCGGGGCAUGGGGACACUGCAGGGCAUGGAGACACUCCAGGGCAUGGGGACACUGCGGGGCACAGGGACACUGCGGGGGACAGGGACAGACACUGCAGGGGACAGGGACGCCACAGGGCAUGAGGACACCGCAGGGCAUGGGGACAAAACAGGGCACAGGGACACCUGGAGGAGAACAGGGCAUGGGGAUCCUGCAGGGCACGGGGACAGAGCAGGGCAUGGGGACACCAUGGGGCACGGGGACAGUGCAGGGCAGGGGGACACUGCAGGACACAAGGACACCGCGGGGCGUGAGGACACUGCAUGGCACGAGGACCCCGCGGGGCUGGGGGACACUGGGGGACCCCGCCGGACACAGGGGGCAGGCGGGGCAGGGCGGGCCGUCACCCCGGGCCGUCCCCGCAGUUCCUGUGCGAGGAGGGCGCCGGCGAUUACAUCGCGCGCGUGGACGAGCCGCAGUCGUGCCGGUACGUGCUGACGGUGCACACCACGCGCAUCUGCCACCACCCGUUCCUGCGGCCGGCGCCGGGGCUGGCGCCGCAGCCCAUCCGCUGCCAGCCCGCGCUCUCGCCCGCGCAGUACGUGCAGUACGUGCGCGCGCAAGUCUGGAACCAGGCGGAGCCAGCCAGGGAUGUGACAGCUGGGGAGCAGGAGGUGACAGCCGCAGCCAGUGACCAGCGGGACGGCACCAGGGUGAGUCCCAGUGGCCCUGGGGACAUUCUGGGGGUCUUGGGGUCACUCUGGGGGGGUUUAGAGUCCUGC
rnacentral:lncRNA from 12 species